CCUACGGGUGGCAGCAGUGAGGAAUAUUGGUCAAUGGACGAGAGUCUGAACCAGCCAAGUAGCGUGAAGGAUGACUGCCCUAUGGGUUGUAAACUUCUUUUAUAAAGGAAUAAAACGAGGCACGUGUGCCUUUUUGCAUGUACUUUAUGAAUAAGGAUCGGCUAACUCCGUGCCAGCAGCCGCGGUAAUACGGAGGAUCCGAGCGUUAUCCGGAUUUAUUGGGUUUAAAGGGAGCGUAGAUGGGUUGUUAAGUAAGUUGUGAAAGUUUGCGGCUCAACCGUAAAAUUGCAAUUGAUACUGGCAGUCGUGAGUACAGUUGAGGUAGGCGGAAUUCGUGGUGUAGCGGUGAAAUGCUGAGAUAUCACGAAGAACCCCGAUUGCGAAGGCAGCUUACUAAACUGUGACUGACAUUGAUGCUCGAAAGUGUGGGUAUCAAACAGGAUUAGAUACCCUGGUAGUC
rnacentral:rRNA from 1 species